rnacentral:rRNA from 1 species
AGCGAACGCUGGCGGCAGGCCUAACACAUGCAAGUCGAACGAACUCUUCGGAGUUAGUGGCGGACGGGUGAGUAACACGUGGGAACGUGCCUUUAGGUUCGGAAUAACUCAGGGAAACUUGUGCUAAUACCGAAUGUGCCCUUCGGGGGAAAGAUUUAUCGCCUUUAGAGCGGCCCGCGUCUGAUUAGCUAGUUGGUGGG